rnacentral:rRNA from 1 species
AGCGGCGGACGGGUGAGUAAUGCGUGGGAAUAUGCCCUUUGGUAUGGAAUAGCCCCUGGAAACGGGGAGUAAUACCGUAUGUGCCCUACGGGGAAAAGAUUUAUCGCCAAAGGAUUAGCCCAUGUUGGAUUAGCUGGUUGGUGAGGUAAAAGCUCACCAAGGCGACGAUCUAUAGCUGGUUUGAGAGGAUGAUCAGCCACACUGGGACUGAGACACGGCCCAGACUCCUACGGGAGGCAGCAGUGGGGAAUAUUAGACAAUGGGCGAAAGCCUGAUCUAGCCAUGCCGCGUGAGCGAAGAAGGCCCUAGGGUUGUAAAGCUCUUUCAGAUGUGAGGAUGAUGACAGUAACAUCAGAAGAAGCCCCGGCUAACUUCGUGCCAGCAGCCGCGGUAAUACGAAGGGGGCUAGCGU